ACUGUUGGGAAGGUAUGAUUGGUUUUGAAAUGAGAGGACAAGAGAUUUGGGAGGGGCCAGAGGUGGAAUAUGUUUUAGCUGUGUCCCCACUCAGAUCUCAUCUUGGAUUCCCAUGUGUUAUGGGACGGACCUGGUGAGAGGUAAUUGAGUUAUGGGGUAGGCCUUUCCUGUGCUGUUUUUGUGAUAGUGAGUAAGUCUCAUGAGGUCUGUCUGUUCCAGAAGGGGGACUUUCCCAAUACAAGCUCUUUCUUUACUUGCUGCCAUCCACUUAAGAGGUGACUUGCUCCUCCUUGCCUUCUGCCAUAAUUGUGAGGUUUCCCCAGCCAUGUGGAACCAUAAGUCCAUUAAACCUUUUUUCUUGUAUAAAUUACCCAGUCUCGGGUAUGUCUUUAUCAGCAGCAUGAAAACGGACUAAUACAAUGAUCAUAUUCAGAUAAUAAUCUUUUCAAACACAUGUCCUCCUCCAAAGUUCCCAUGUAAGGACAUUGUUUAAUUUUUCUUUUCAAAUUAGGUGUCACUAAUGUUUGUCUUAAUGAAUUCAUCUAUUGCUGUUAUAUUGGUUUCCUAUUGCUAGUGUAACAAAUUACCAUAAACUUAGCAACUUAAACCAAUUAACAUUUAUUCUUUUGCAGUUGUAGAGGCCAGAUGACUGAAAAGGGUCUUACAAUGUGAAAAUCAAGGUGUCAAUAAGGCUGGUUCCUUCUGGAAGCUCUGAACCUCUCUCAACCUCUGGUGGCUGCCAGCAUUGCUUGGUUCUUGGCCAUAUUCCUGCAGUCUCUACUUUUAUGGUUGCAUUGUUUUCUUCUCUUCCAUAGUCAAAUUUCCCCCUGCCUUCCUCUUGUAAGGACUCUUAUUAUUGCAUAUUGGACCCAUCCCUACAACCUAGAGUAAUCUCUCCAUCUCAAAAUUCUUAAUCACAUCUGCACAUUUUCUUUUUCUAAAUAAGGUAGCAUUCACAAGUUCUAGGGAUUAGGAUAUGAAUAACAUGUUUUCAAGGGUUGGGUGAAGAGACACUAUUCAGUCUACUAUAGUUGUGUAUCCCUGUAUCUGAGCAAUUCAGGAUACUUUUAUAUUACAAUAAAAUUUUAAACAAAUGCUGUAUUUCCCUACUGGAUGGAUUUUCAUUUAAGUAAAGAAUAUUUGAAAGCUUGUUGAAAUUUGAAUAUUUGCAGUUACACAAAUACUUGUCUUUCAUUCUCUUUUUCCUUCCUUUUCAGUAUUUUAGAAUGUUUAUCCCUGAAAAUGAGAACUCAAAAGGUUUAAUAACAAUAAUAUACACAAGUAAUUGUAAUUGUGUUUGUUUCUUUGCCUCUAUCUAUGGAAAAAUGUAUUAUUCUUAUUCAUGGGUUGAAUUUUUUAAAAUUAAUUUUAAUGAUUGGGCACAUAUAGUUGGUGUUCAUUUUAGUUUUUAUAUUUUUCUUCUAAUCCUAUCAUACUACAGCAUCAAGCAUUAUUUGGUUUUGUAACUCCACCUUAUGAUGAUUUUUCUUUUUAUGUGUUUUUAUCAGCUUUUUAAUAAAACAAUAUCAUGAGUGAGUAUGUAGAAAAAACAGCACAGAGCAGAGUCACUGUUACUGGCAGGUUUGUAGAAUUUCAAGGCUAUCUUCUCUAAUUCAGAAGGGGAACUUUAGCAUUAAAAUGUUUUUGAAAGCAUCAAAUCAGUGUUUCACUCUCCGUUCUGGACCUAUCAACGUAAGCAAAGUAUGAAAAAUAAACUCCCACAAUAGUUAUAUUCUUGUAGAUGAAUAUUAUAUAUUUAUAGAGCAAUGAGUUAAUCUUGUCUGGAAGCAUUCGUUUAGAACUAUUCCUGAGGAAAAAUAGGGAAGUGAUAAUACAAGUAGGAAAUUUCACAGAUCUAGAAAUUAGGAAACAGGUUCUCAUCCCAAUUUCAACAUUAGUCAGUUUUGUAACCUUGUACAACAUUAGGUUUUACUGGUUCUCAUUUUUUCUGAUAUAAAAAGUAAAAAGACAUAAACAUGUUGUCUCCCACAUCUUUGUAAUACUAAACUAUGUGACUUUACUGACUGCAUUACUGCUACAGGUGCCUUUCCUCGUCACAUUUUCACACACAGCAGAGCUCUGUAUUGUUUAGUGACACUGAAUGAUUGCAUUAAGAUGUGGUACAUCAUUGAGGAUUUGGAAGUGUGAAACCACCCAAAACCAAACAAUUCAUCCUUUCCUUGCUUUUGCUUGGAGUUCACAAGAAGUAAAAAAAAAAAGGAAGUAAACUACUUGCUUUGAUUUGUUGUAUGCUGAGGAAGGUUGAUAGGUUCUUAUUUUUCCCAAGCCAAAUCAUUGUUCCUAAUUCUAUAUCUGCUGGAGAAGAAACAUUUGAGUUACUGGAUUCAUGUUUUUAUUUUAGUUCACUCUGGGCCCCAAAUUUCAGGUGAACCAUGGUAUUUAAUUCAGGCUUUAUGACAAUGAUACCAUGGAAAUAUUUCUAAAAUGCCAAGCAAACAUCCAAAUACAUUGCCUCUGUAACCAGACACUAAGAUUAUUGUAUCUUCUCCUUUUGUACAUGUAUUCUCUAGCCAUACCAACAUUGUACACUGUAACAGAUGUGCAGAUGUGCUCUCUGCUUGGAAGACAUAGGUGUAACAAUAAGAACAAUUUUUUUAUUCUGUAUAAAGACCUUUCCAUCCUCAGAAUAUCUUGCAGGGAGCAUUCACUGGGACUAAUUGUCGCAAAAAGCAGAAGCAGAUUUUUGACCUCUCUUUUCAGGGACUGAGGUGACAGGCCCUCCUCCUUCCCCUUCCUUAAGUUAGCAGUGAUUAAACUCCUUUCAAAGAGCCAGACUCAGACAUUAUUAUAUCAAGACUUCCAUUCUAGGCAGCGGUGUCUUUUCUUGUUCCUUUUUCUUUUUUUUUUUUUUUUUUCUUUUUCUCCCCAGAGAAAGUGAACAAGAGGCAGUUUUAGCUUGAACUAGACUCUCUGUAGUUCCCUGAUCUUUAUUCGGGUUUCAGACCUGUACUUGCAGUGCCUUAUGCUGUGCUUUGACUUUGCAGACUCUGGGGGAGAAGCUGCUUCAGUUACCACUGAACGCAAAGGUAAAACUGACCUUAUAAUUUGUGUUAAAAAACAAAAGACACAGUUUCCUUUAAGAAGUACCAGUGGACAUGGAAUGGAGUUUUAUGAUAAUAGUUUUAAGAAGAAUUAUGAUUUAAAGAUUGUUAUACAUUUUAGAAAGCCAUUUCACAGAUAUUAUGAAACCUGAUCCUCUCAAUGCCUCGGAGAGAUAGGCAAGAUAUUUUUAAUCCUUACUUUGCAAAUGUGAGAACCAAACUCAAGGAGAUUAACUGAAUUCCCCAAGGCUUUGCUUCUAGAAAGCAUCAGAAUUGAGCAAGAAAUCCAGAAGAUUUUGUCCUCAAUUCAAUUAUUUACCCAUUUCACUCAUUGCCUUAUCCUCCAUAUGCUGCCUCCACUAGCACGUGUUUCCAGACUGUCUGCUAAUUUCAUCUGCAGAGGUGGAAAGUAUUUUCAGCCGUAUUUUAACCACUAUUUUACUUUAAGGAGACAUUCAUCUAUUAUGAUUUACUGCAAGUUUAUAAGAUUUUAUCUGUUAGUUGGGCAUUUUGGUCACUAAAUAAUAUGCCGCAAUUUAUUGAUGAGACAUAGGAAGUGAAUGCAGGAUGGAUGACCAUGGGACUCCACAAACAUGUGGUUCAUCAGGUAAGUAAACAAAAAGAUUGUACGUAACAGAGGCCAUCGUGGGUCUUCUCUACUGCCACACAGUUAAGAGGAGUCAGCCAUUUUCUGUGUUUGUUUCUUUAUAUCUUAUUAAUACAUCUUCCUCUGUUUCUUCAUGGUGUAUGUCCCCACAUCAUUUCAGAUUGACCAUCACUGGAAACUAACAACCCCACUUGGGUCCUACUAUAUCAUAACUUUCAGUUUAAAUGCCUACUUCUGUCUGGUGAUUUUUUUCUGCAAUAUGUUGGUGAAGAUUGUCAAACGAGAAUCUGGCAGCACAGAUUCUAGUUUUCUUCAUUUAUUGAAGGCUUUUAACACAGAGAAAAUUUAGUAUGUUCCAGGGACUGUUUCAGUUAUUAGGGACAGAGCAUUAAACACACAGAAAAAUUAUCUUCAUUUGUACUCUUGUAUUUCAGUAAUAUAAAUUGCUUUUCAGCUCAAGCCUAAUGAGAAGGUACAGACAAAGAAAAAAAAAGGAAAGCAAGAGAGUGUCAUGAUAUAGAAGCAUAAAAGCUAAGAGAAAAGUCUGUUUCUUUUUUAAUCCUCAACACUUUUCAAGCUGCUAGAUUUGGUGUUGGCAAGAACAUAUGGAAGGAAAUAUACAGAGAUCAUAGGUGGCAUCCUUUUUAUUAGAAUGAGAUAUGGGACAAGCUCUGGAAUUGAAAGAGCCACUCUUGCUUAUGCAUACUUCGGUAGUUAUGGAGAACUAUUUUAUUCUUUCUUCUAAAACUUUAAGUUUGGCAGAACUUUAGUCCUUUAUCUAAUGUACAUAUGCAUGGUGCCCCUUUAGAAAACUGGUGAAUAUCUAAUUAUCCUACACAAUUUAAUUAGUAGAAAUAAUAUUUGAAUAUGUUAGGUUAAUCAGGGGGGUGACAAGAGCAGAAUUACAUUUCUUAAAAAAAAUAACUAGCUAGUUGAUAGACGUCAGUGCUUAAUUCAAGAAUGCACUAAGGAGACAAAAAAAGAAUUGAUAAUAGUUGCCUGGAAAUAAUAAUAAUUGCUACUGGAAAAGAGAAGGAAGGGAGGUAGUCAAAUUAGGAGAUUAUUUAUGCAUCUUUUUGUGCAGAUGUGCAGGCAUUAUGAAGAGAAUUAUUGAAAAGAUGGUCAUGAUCAACAUAAGUAAAGGUCACUGAAAAUCUAGUAAGUAUGUAAUGUGGGCUAUCCAUUGAAUUUAUUUAAAGGGGAUCAUUGUCAUUGAUUAUUUUUGUUAGAUCAAGUUUAGUGGUGGGCAUAGAGAUAACAGUAAAUUGUAAUGGGGUGAGGUAUGAGAUGCAUGGGUGGAAAACAAUUCAAGGAACCAAGAUAACUCUCUCAUGAAGUUUGGCUAUGAGGAGAGGAGAUAUGUAAGGACAAGAUAUGCUCUACUUAAUAGAGAAUAUAAGGUAAGUGCCAAUACUACUCCUAACAAAGAACUGUUUCUGUCAGUUGUCUAUUCCCUUUUUUUACUAAUCAAGUUCUUUUUAUCAGCUUAUUCCUAUAAGUAUUUAAAUAUGUUUAAUCUCUGCCAUUUUAGAAAAUUCCUUUCUCAAAAACUAACUCCUUACCCAGGCUUAUAAAUCACUUUCUUUUGUAAAUUGACUUAAUUUUCUGCAAUCCACAGCUACUCCUUACUUUAUGGUCAAUAGAUUGAACAUCUUUUAGUACUUCAUGUAUGCUAAGCUUUCUGUCUCACCUCUAAGUCUAUGCAUAUGCUAGUUCUUGAAACACUCAUUUCUUUUCUCCUGCAUAAUUUCUAUUUAUUCUUCAGAUUUCUUCCUAAAUACUACUUCAUCUCAGAAAUAUUACAAAGCCUAAUUAGACUUUUCAUAAAUAGAUGUGUGAGGGGUGGUGGCGGGAUUUUCAUUGCCUGGAUCCAGUGUUCUCAGAACUGGACUGCAAUGUGAAGUUCUUCUUACUCAUUCUUCCUUCCUUCCUUUUCUCCCCACACAGGUGCCAGACCUAUGUCAUCUUCCAUUGCAUUGCAAUUAUAUCAUUGUAUGAGAAUCACAGCAUUAAAUUAUUGUGGCAAUUGUCAUGUAAUGACUCAUGGAUCACAUUUUGAAAACUGUAAUAUAAUAAAUGGCUAUUCAUGGUUUUAAAUUCUAAGAUAACUCACUGCUAUCUUCUACCUCUAUCUUUCUGACUUGCUUUUUAACCCAUACAUAACACAUUCACAUAAGUGAAUUUCAUCUGUUAUCUUGUGUA
rnacentral:lncRNA from 1 species